CAGCAGAGCUAUGGAGAAUGUGUCACGCCGCCACCUCAGAUUGCGUGAGCGUGACCCGUUUUUCACUCUCCCUUUCUUCCCCAGAUCCAGAGCAGUGAUGAUCGAUGGGGAGCACGACGCUGCGGUAGCGGCUUAGCGCAGGCGGGGGACGGCGGAGCAUGGGGCUCCCCUGCUGAUCUGCGCGGGCGUCACCACCCGCUGCUGGGGAUGGCCGCCGCGGUGCUCGUCUACCAUUGGGCGCUGCUGGCGGAGAUCAAGAUGGAUGCGGACACCUACGCGUCGGCAUCCGCAGGGAGAUGGUGGAAGGUGGGGUUGGUGACGGCGGCGACGAGAAGAAAAUGGACUCAGCGUCCGGCGGAUUCUCGCCAUUUUUGUCCACGCGACGUGCCUUGCUUGGAGGGCGGACCGUCAACAUCAUCUUCUUUUCUGGCGGCACAACCCAUCCUCCAUGGCUGGUCCUUCGGCGGCCAUCCAAAUCCUUCCCAUCUUCACUUAUUUUUGUUGUCCCUGCAGGUUCGCGAAUUCGCGAAAUAGCGCCGGCGAGGAGGCCCCUUUAUCCCUUUAGGCAAGCAAAGCCUUUGGGAGCAACUAGGAAAGCCUUACCCCUCUGUAAGUUCGUUAUUGCUGUGGCACAAGCUAUCACUUGAAUUUACAUGCAAAACAAGAACGACUAGGGGAUUUGAGAGUUGGCAUGGGAAUUUUUAAAAUGGUUGAUGGCUACUGUAGUGAGGAUUUUUUUUAUGCAGUGCUUAUCCAGUAGAGCAUGGCUUACCGCGUCAAAUAGGCCAAGUGCUUAUCCAAUGCUUCUUAGUUUAGGAGUGGAUUAUCUAGCUAGGGUUUGUGAUCUGAUGUGUAAGCAAGUAGAAACAAAUAUGAUCUAUCAUGAAUUUUAUCAUUUUCUUCAUUUGGCCUUACACCACAUAAAUAUUUUGUCUGACUGCAAAGAUAAAUUCAACUCUAAAAUAGCCAUUUAUGAGUACCAUGUUUGGAUUUGAUCGCUUAUUCACCAGUCACCAGCAGGUUUUUUUACAGCAACUUAAUUGGGGGAAAGUAGCUUUUUUUGAACUCCAGCAUGCUAUAUGCACAGGUGAAAAUGGUAUUACAGAAUGUGACGGUUUUUGUUUGGCAAAUGGCAACACAGCAAUACUUUGCCAUUUCUAUCUUUUUCAAUACUGAACUGAGUAUUCAUUACCUCUUGGUGUAAGCUGGUUUUUGUAAGGCAACACUAAGUUACUUUGUUUCCUGUCCUUGACAGAAAAUGUUAGUGAAUAUGAAUGGAGAAUCAUAUACCAACAAUGAUACUAAUUUGAGCUCUUGUUUGUUUCUUUUUAUGGUGGUUCCUGUAAAAUUUUGGUCCUGUGAUUUUUCUUCUCUACCUGUUCUUGUGGCUGGUUCUGGUUGCCUGGACAACAAAAUUCUUUAGUGCCAGAUCAGAAGGGGAGAUUGGUCCUCAACACAUGCUAGCUCUUUAUUUUCAGAGUAUCAGAGUGGGUUAUUUCGGAUAAGCCUCAUGCAUGAUAAGGUGCUAACCACUAAUGGUCAAGAUAACAUUGUCGAAAGGGAAAUCUGGAAAAAAUCAAGUCCAAAACGGGCAUUGCAAGGCACACGGCACAGAUUUGUGAAGUAGCUACUCAUACACAGGCAUUGCUAGCUUCUGUAUGAUUUUCCUUUUGAAUUGUUGUUCUGAUGAGGGAAAGACUAACUUGUGGUUAGCACAUUCAUUCUUUAUUCAGGCAGUGUAUGCAGGUACUUCAAUCUCUGCUGGAAUGAAAGGUUCAAGCAAAGCUAUGGCCAGCAAUGAAUAAGCCUCCCAUGUUGGGAUCCAUUCCGCCAUCAGCUGCAGAAGGCUCGGGUGCCAACCGAGGGAUCACCACGCGCGGCCGUAGCAAUCAACAUCGGCAGUCCUCAACGAAGACCACGCCGUACAGCCCUAGGCGACGCUUGGUCCAUGACACGAACCGGACGUGGCAUUGGCUCAACUCUGACAGUUUUUAGCAGGAUGGACAAUGUCGUGCGCCCUCUGACGUUGUCAAGUCAGCUGCAAAUGCAGAGUCUUACUCUGAACCCAUGCUUCGACUAUGUCCAAUAACCUAUCCAUUUCGGGCUUUCCAGAUAUAUAAGAAAAUUCAUUUGUCCGACGCAAUUUAGAAUGAAACAAUUAUUAUAGAAAUAGCAGCAUGUUCUGUUGGGUGUCACCGUUCACCAGUUUA